rnacentral:lncRNA from 10 species
UUUCUCUCUUUCUCUCUCUCCUGCCACCAUGUGAAGACAUGCUUGCUUCCCCUUUGUCCUUCUGCCAUGAUUGUGAGUUUCCUGAGGCCUCCCCAACCAUGCAUCCUGCACAGCUUGUGGAACUAGACUCAACUGUGUGGGUUAAGACUUGGCCAUGGCACACCAAGGAUACCCCGUCUCUGCUCUGCAAUGUCUGAGGAUUCAGCUGGAAGACUUGAGAACUGGAGGAUGGGAUCAACUGAAGGCUCAUUAAUUCACUCAUCUAUCCUGGUGGGUGAAGC